rnacentral:rRNA from 1 species
AAUGAACGCUGGCGGCAUGCCUAACACAUGCAAGUCGAGCGAGCAUUUCGGUGCUAGCGGCGGACGGGUGAGUAACGCGUGGGGACGUGCCCUUUUCUGCGGAAUAGUCCUGGGAAACUGGGGGUAAUACCGCAUACGCCCUUUUGGGGAACGAUUUAUCGGAGAAGGAUCGGCCCGCGUUGGAUUAGGUAGUUGGUGGGGUAAUGGCCCACCAAGCCGACGAUCCAUAGCUGGUUUGAGAGGAUGAUCAGCCACACUGGGACUGAGACACGGCCCAGACUCCUACGGGAGGCAGCAGUGGGGAAUCUUAGACAAUGGGGGCAACCCUGAUAUAGCCAGGCCGGGUGAGUGAUGAAGGCCUUAGGGUUGUAAAGCUCUUUCAGCUGGGAAGAUAAUGACGGUACCAGCAGAAGAAGCCCCGGCUAACUACGUG